UUUCUUUUUUUUUUUGCUGCAGCCAACUGGGUACAUGGAAAACUCAGUCUCCUACAGCGCUAUUGAGGACGUUCAGCUGCUGUCCUGGGAGAACGCCCCGAAGUACUGUUUACAGCUCACAAUUCCUGGGGGAACGGUCUUACUGCAGGCUGCCAACAGCUACCUUCGAGACCAGUGGUUCCAUUCUCUGCAGUGGAAG